rnacentral:rRNA from 1 species
UACGGGGGGGGCAAGCGUUGUUCGGAAUUACUGGGCGUAAAGGGUCUGUAGGUGGCCAACUAAGUCAGACGUGAAAUCCCUCAGCUUAACUGGGGAACUGCGUCUGAUACUGGUUGGCUUGAGUGCAGGAGAGGAAUGCGGAAUUCCAGGUGUAGCGGUGAAAUGCGUAGAUAUCUGGAGGAACACCGGUGGCGAAGGCGGCAUCCUGGACCGGUAUUGACGCUGAGGCGCGAAAGCCAGGGGAGCAAACGGG